rnacentral:rRNA from 3 species
CAGGUAGGGAUACCCGCUGAACUUAAGCAUAUCAAUAAG